GAUGAACGCUAGCGGGAGGCCUAAUACAUGCAAGUCGAGCGGUAGAGUGACUUCGGUUGCUUGAGAGCGGCGAACGGGUGAGUAACGCGUACACAAUCUACCUUUAAGAGGGGAAUAGCCCUGGGAAACUGGGAUUAAUGCCCCAUGGCAUCACGAAGUGGCAUCGCUUUGUGAUUAAAGCUGAGGUGCUUAGAGAUGAGUGUGCGUCUGAUUAGCUAGUUGGUGCGGUAACGGCGCACCAAGGCGACGAUCAGUAGGGGGCGUGAGAGCGUGGACCCCCACACGGGUACUGAGACACGGACCCGACUCCUACGGGAGGCAGCAGUAAGGAAUAUUGGUCAAUGGGCGCAAGCCUGAUCCAGCCAUCCCGCGUGCAGGAUGACAGCCCUACGGGUUGUAAACUGCUUUGUUAGGGAAGAAACCCCUACGAUUUAUCGGGGGCGUGACGGUACCUUUCGUAAUAAGCACCGGCUAACU
rnacentral:rRNA from 1 species